UUUGUCAUAUCGGUUUUGCAUUUGGAUUUGGGUGUCAAGAGGGUCUGGUCUGUUCUAGUCCCUUGCAUUUGAGGUGAGCUGGAUAGUAUUGAGGAGGUGCGUGGGACUGGUGAUUUCACAGAAAUGCAAUGGUAAUUUUGUGCUUGUUGGUAUCUUAGGUGUCAUAAAUAAUUGUUGCUGCAGCCUCUGACUCUGGAAUCGGCGUGAAGCAGAUGCAGAGGGACAAGAUGUGCACCAAAGAGUCAUGGAGAAGGCAAGCGGGACCUCAUAAGAAGGUGCAGGAUGCAGGCUCAGAGGUGCUAAGUCACAUGCUGAUGAGCGGGCUGAGAAGGUGCCCUGUGAGCCAUCUUUGGAAGUGGAUGAGCGUUAGAGGUGAGCCGAGGCAGUAGUGAGGAGGAGGUUGUGGCUGGUGAUGUCUUACAUGUGCAACAGUAAUUUUGUUCCUUGGUAUCUCAAGCAAUGAUGGCUGCAGCUUCUGAAUCUGGAAUGAGCAAAUGAUGAAGAGGAACCUGGUGACUACAGGAAUGUCCCAGAUAGUUGAUGUGCUGUUUUGGUUUUUUUUUGUCCACAGGGGAUUUAAGACCUCCAGCCCUCUGAAAGCUAAGUUGAGUGGCCAGGGCUGGGGAGGGGCUGGGAGGGGAGAAGUUUGUGAUUUGCAGGGUGACAUCUUAAAGUUAGAGAAGGGCAGAGGGCUGUCCUGGAGCCAUGCCCUUUGAGCAGGUAAAGGGAGUGAGUUAGUCUUCAGCACAACACUAGCGUGAGCUGGGCAGGGCGGUUCCAGCCUGUGUCUGUUGUAUUGUCUGUGUGGUCUGUCUUCUGUGUCUUAGACCUUCCUUGGGUCUCGAUGUCCUCUUUACACUUGAGGAGCACAGCCUGUACUUCAGGCACCAUCCCAAGAGUCUUGAAUGCCAGUACUCAUCGGCACUGCCCCAGUCAGGCCCCGCUUUUCUUGCAUUGUAAGUUUAAACAGUGGAUUGGUCUUGCAUCUCGGAAGUUUCUGGGUGGUCCUCGUUUGCAGUGUUGUUACUGACUGUGUGAGCAGCUCUGUUCUCUAGCCAUCCAUUUUCAGUGACUGGGACUUGUUCCCUGCAUCCUUAAGUUCUUAGGUCUUGAAGUCGGGCUUCCUGCGCAUAUGUCUUUGGAGUUGCUUCUAGUCCCAGGCCAUUACAUUGUACUCAUUUCCUGGGGUUUCCCUAGAGCCUUCUCGUGUCACUAUCAUGGUCUCGCAGGUCUUCUUGCCUGACAGUUGCUUAUGUUGGUGUCACCCUUCUUGCUGAGAGUUUUGUCUCAUCUGUGAGGUGCAUUGUUUGUAGUGUUCUGUGUAACGUCGGUCUGUGCUUGUGUGUGUUUGGCUUGGAGCUGCACUGCCUGGUCACAUAGAGUCAGGGGUAGGUGGAACAUCAAUAGGAGUCUAUGGUUAGUUUGUUGAUCUACCUAGACUGUUGAGGCAAAGGUGUUACAGUCAACUCCCAUCAAGUAGCUGUCAGCAGGUUCUGUGGGCAGCUUUUUAAUUAAUGGGGUUGUCCUGGGAUGAGCAGAGCUAUGUGGGAGGGGCUGUUCAGCAGUAGUGAAGCAGACUGCAACUCAACAAUGUUAAGGCUGCUUUGUAUGGGGUGUAAUGUUUGUAUGUUAUUUUUUUUAAUGUCAGGCUGUAAUUGUACUCCAGAUGGUAUUUCUAAGGCAAAACAAGACCUUUUUGAGGGUGUGUGCGUGUCACACAGGGUUCCCUCCAAAAGAGACAGUUCACAGCCCAAAAAUGCCUGAAAAUUCAUGCGGGGAAUGUGUGUUUAAAAAAAUAAUAAAACCUGUAUAUAUGGGA